GACGAACGCUGGCGGCGUGCCUAAUACAUGCAAGUAGAACGCUGAAGAGAGGAGCUUGCUCUUCUUGGAUGAGUUGCGAACGGGUGAGUAACGCGUAGGUAACCUGCCUGGUAGCGGGGGAUAACUAUUGGAAACGAUAGCUAAUACCGCAUAAAAUUGAUUAUUGCGUGAUAAUUAAUUGAAAGAUGCAACUGCAUCACUACCAGAUGGACCUGCGUUGUAUUAGCUAGUUGGUGAGGUAACGGCUCACCAAGGCGACGAUACAUAGCCGACCUGAGAGGGUGAUCGGCCACACUGGGACUGAGACACGGCCCAGACUCCUACGGGAGGCAGCAGUAGGGAAUCUUCGGCAAUGGGGGGAACCCUGACCGAGCAACGCCGCGUGAGUGAAGAAGGGUUUCGGAUCGUAAAGCUCUGUUGUAAGAGAAGAACGGGUGUGAGAGUGGAAAGUUCACACUGUGACGGUAUCUUACCAGAAAGGGACGGCUAACUACGUG
rnacentral:rRNA from 1 species